GAUGAACGCUGGCGGCGUGCUUAACACAUGCAAGUCGAACGGAGAUCAUUUUAAUGAGGCUUCGGCGGAUUUGAUCUGAUCUUAGUGGCGGACGGGUGAGUAACGCGUGGGUAACCUGCCUUAUACAGGGGGAUAACAGCCGGAAACGGCUGCUAAUACCGCAUAAGCGCACAGAGGCGCAUGCUUCAGUGUGAAAACUCCGGUGGUAUAAGAUGGACCCGCGUUGGAUUAGCUAGUUGGCAGGGCAGCGGCCUACCAAGGCGACGAUCCAUAGCCGGCCUGAGAGGGUGGACGGCCACAUUGGGACUGAGACACGGCCCAGACUCCUACGGGA
rnacentral:rRNA from 1 species